AACGCACAUUGCGCCUUCCGGCAUUCCGGAGGGCAUGCCUGUUCGAGCGUCAUUAUAGACCAUCAAGCAUUGCUUGGCAUUGGGUCUCCGUCCCUGCAGCGGACGAGCCCUAAAGACCUCGGCGACAGCGUGAAGUCUCAAGCGUAGUAGAAAACCUAUUCCCGCUUACAGAGUCUUCGCGCUGCCCGCUCCGAAAACCCAAAUAACCUCAAGGUUGACCUCGGAUCAGGUAGGGAUACCCGCUGAACUUAA
rnacentral:misc_RNA from 1 species